UAUUUUUUUCGAAGUUCUUCCUCCUUUUUCCUCCCAUUUGGUUUUCUCCACACUCCUCCGAGGAUAGGAAGUCAGAGUGUCAUUUUACAGCAGAGUGGAUGCAGGCACUGGGACCCUUGGCAGUAGGGGGGAAAAAUGAGAUAAUCUGCACAACUUGUCUGGAUAGGACACCUGCUACUUCUGCCCACAUCUCAUUGGCCAGAGCAAGUCAUGUGACCAAGCCUGACUUCAAAGGGAUGGGACUGUGCAACUCUGCAGUGUGCUCUGAAGAAGAAAAAGAGAAUGUGUGUUCCACAGUCAUGACUACACUAGACAUUUCUUCUUUUACAAGGGUGGCUCCUACAACCACCAGCCUUCUAAAGUGAUUGUGUCCAAA